rnacentral:rRNA from 1 species
UACGGGGGGGGCAAGCGUUGUUCGGAAUUACUGGGCGUAAAGGGCGUGUAGGUGGCCAACUAAGUCCGACGUGAAAUCCCCAGGCUUAACCUGGGAACUGCGUCGGAUACUGGAUGGCUUGAAUCCGGGAGAGGGAUGCGGAAUUCCAGGUGUAGCGGUGAAAUGCGCAGAUAUCAGGAGGAACACCGGUGGCGAAGGCGGCUUGCUGGGCCUUACCUGACGCUGAGGAGCGAAAGCCAGGGGAGCAAACGGG